rnacentral:rRNA from 1 species
GGUGAACGCUGGCGGUAGGCCUAACACAUGCAAGUCGAACGGCAGCACAGUAAGAGCUUGCUCUUACGGGUGGCGAGUGGCGGACGGGUGAGGAAUACAUCGGAAUCUACUUUUUCGUGGGGGAUAACGUAGGGAAACUUACGCUAAUACCGCAUACGACCUACGGGUGAAAGCAGGGGAUCUUCGGACCUUGCGCGAUUGAAUGAGCCGAUGUCGGAUUAGCUAGUUGGCGGGGUAAAGGCCCACCAAGGCGACGAUCCGUAGCUGGUCUGAGAGGAUGAUCAGCCAAACUGGAACUGAGACACGGUCCAGACUCCUACGGGAGGCAGCAGUGGGGAAUAUUGGACAAUGGGCGCAAGCCUGAUCCAGCCAUACCGCGUGGGUGAAGAAGGCCUUCGGGUGGUAAAGCCCUUUUGUUGGGAAAGAAAAGCAGCAGGUUAAUACCCCGCUGUUCUGACGGUACCCAAAGAAUAAGCACCGGCUAACUUCGU